AUUGCAGACGACUGAUGCAUCUAGUAUAACCAGAGGAUUAACAACGACAACACUCGAUAGAGCACUUUCAUCACAUCGAACCAUCCUCACCACCAUCUCCUCGACAAGUGGAACCAUGACAGCGACGACUUCCACAGACAACGAACACAGCAGCACUUUGACUAUCGUUGUGAGGUCUUCGUCGGAGGUGAAUAGAACUAUGGAGGCCGAUGGGACCACAGGAGGGAAGAACAUCAUUGGUGAGUAACUUUUUUCUGGAAUAUGUUGAGGACAGUGUUAUUUUCUACUCGCUCACUAAUUGAUGAUUACAUUCAUUGCGUGCUUCAUCUUGAGCCUUGGAGUGGACACAGCCCUCUGAUUUAUACCUGGGAAUGAGGGGAGGCUGACCAGGUCGCAAAUAUUCACGGCUUUUAACAAGCUCGUGCUCGCGUAGGGGUAUCAUCUGUUUAAUGAGUGACUGAGUGUGUCAUCAUACUC